AAGUAAUGGCUCAUCAAGGCGACGACGGGUAGCCGGCCUGAGAGGGUGACCGGGCACACUGGGACUGAGACACGGCCCAGACUCCUACGGAGGCAGCAGUGGGGAAUAUUGCACAAUGGGCGAAAGCCUGAUGCAGCGACGCCGCGUGAGGGAUGACGGCCUUCGGGUUGUAAACCUCUUUCAGUAGGGAAGAAGCGAAAGUGACGGUACCUGCAGAAGAAGCACCGGCUAACUACGUGCCAGCAGCCGCGGUAAUACGUAGGGUGCGAGCGUUAUCCGGAAUUAUUGGGCGUAAAGAGCUCGUAGGCGGUUUGUCGCGUCUGUCGUGAAAGUCCGGGGCUUAACCCCGGAUCUGCGGUGGGUACGGGCAGACUAGAGUGCAGUAGGGGAGACUGGAAUUCCUGGUGUAGCGGUGGAAUGCGCAGAUAUCAGGAGGAACACCGAUGGCGAAGGCAGGUCUCUGGGCUGUAACUGACGCUGAGGAGCGAAAGCAUGGGGAGCGAACAGGAUUAGAUACCCUGGUAGUCCAUGCCGUAAACGUUGGGCACUAGGUGUGGGGACCAUUCCACGGUUUCCGCGCCGCAGCUAACGCAUUAAGUGCCCCGCCUGGGGAGUACGGCCGCAAGGCUAAAACUCAAAGGAAUUGACGGGGGCCCGCACAAGCGGCGGAGCAUGCGGAUUAAUUCGAUGCAACGCGAAGAACCUUACCAAGGCUUGACAUGUUCUCGAUCGCCGUAGAGAUACGGUUUCCCCUUUGGGGCGGGAUCACAGGUGGUGACAUGGUGAUCGUCAGCUCGUGUCCUGAGAUUUG
rnacentral:rRNA from 1 species